rnacentral:lncRNA from 1 species
CAGCAUUCCUGGACCCCUCCACCCCCCCACCCCCAAGCCAGGGACAGCUGCUCCGGAACUCCAGCAACUGACAGGGGAGCAACUCCCAGUUCAGCUUUUCCAGAGGUUGGGGAGGCCAAUGACCUGGGGCUGGAGACCAGCAGGGGAUAUGUUGAAAAUUGGACAGGGAAGUCCAGACAGUUGCAAGUGAACGGAGUUCUGCUUAUGAGUAAAAGAAGAAGAAGAAGAAGAAGAAGAAGAAAAAUGGUCUUCCUGCCCUGCUGCAAAGGAGCAAUAGGGGUCAUAGAUGGAAAGGAAGUAGAGGUUUCUCGACACAUCUGGGGCAUUUUGCAUGAGACUCCUCUGCUUGAUGGAUGGAAUGCUGACUUUGCUUUGAUCCCAGAGAUAAUGCAAGAGUUUUGAAGGGAUUCAGAUUCUUCAAGGAAGCAAUUGCAAGACUUGAGACUCACUAGAACCAACUCCAGACAAAGGAAGAGGGAUCGAGAGAGAGAAGCCCAUCAACGAGCCUCAGCUUUAGUGCAAAAGAGCUAUGGGCAAAACAAAAGAUGCUUUGAGACUAAUAUACAUUGUCAAGGCUUUCAACAAAAAGAAUCCUAUUGAGAAACUUUAACAUUCAAGGGACAUACUUAAGUUGACAAAUGGAAAGCUUCAUACAAAGUUGCAGGGAACAAGGGCUAUUUGUAAAAAAAAAAAACCACAACAACAAAAAAGAAAAACAAAUGAAUAAAUAAAUUUUAAUUUUAAAAAAUAGUCCA